CAAAUUUCCUACUCUCAAACAUAUGCAAUUCAUGGCCAAACGGUAAUAGAGCGGGACAUUACGUUUACUCUCAGCGGAAUUGACCGGAGAAGUCACUGUUCUGGCCUGCACCACGGUUAGUAUAAGAACGCAGUCUUCAGAGAUCUCUACGUGAACACUGAUACGUCUGACCUUCAGUCCGAAGAAGAAACCCAGACCAGUCUUAAAAGAAAGCACAAGCAAAACCUUUUUAUUCACAAACAUAUCUUUGAUUGUUAAGAAUUUAUGAUCUUGUGUUUUAUACAUAUCUGUGGUGCGUGCAUACUGCAAUAUCCUCACAUAAUAUAGUCCAAAAAGUGGAAGUUUGUAAACUUUUUAAAAAUGCAAAGCCAUGUACACUUGUGCACUUCAAAAAUUCCUUGUAUACUGUACCUUCUUGCACGUCUCUGUUUCCUGUGUGUGUUGUUAGAAAUCAAAAUGUAACUUUAGGAAAAAAAAUGCCAAAAGCACAUUUACAAUUACUUAUGACCGUUUUUAAAUUCUUUUCUUCAGACCAAAUCCCCUUCACACAUAUACUGACUCAGAGGAUGAGCAGCCUACAAAAAACGGUUUCCCCAGGCCCCUCGAGUGAAAAUACCAGCCCUCACCACUCCGCAGUCUGCCCCCCAGCCCACUGAUAGCAACCAUCAUAAUGCCCCACCCAGCUUGCGGCACCUGUUGCCACUCCGGCACAACACACAAACCAACACAGCUUUGCGAUCUCCCCAGCAUGCAGAGUCUGAUGUCAAUGUCUUCCCUAUAGAUGAUUCCAGAGACUCUGUGAGGCCACUAUUACAAGGUUAGACGCUUUGCCUUGAUUGGAGGGACCACACUGGAGGUGCGAGUCCAUCGCACCGCCAAACGAGCUGGCCUCGGUACUCAACUGGACAGGGAACAAACCAAGGACCAGACAGAGCAAAAAAGGGCAUUUAAAGAGACAGCGCUGUGCAGAUGCAUAUUCGAUGGCCUGACGCAGCAGGUAGGGGCGAACUCUAUGUCUGAGUUUGUCUUUGCUCAAGCAGUCCAAAAAUGGCUCAGAUACGCUCCGGAUCGUAUGGGUGGCGCAGGACGCACAUCAUCCAUCCCCAUCCCCGAGUAAAAAUUUGACGUGAAACAUAGAAAUCUUAAUACGAAACUUUGUCUUUUAAUAAAGUCUUUUGUAAACGAUACAUGUCUAUUGACCUUUUUUUU
ensembl:lncRNA